UGUGCAGACAUCUUUUUAGGACAUAAAGGACUGCGAUAAAUUUAACCGCGAUUGUGUGCAGACAUCUUUUUAGGACAUAAAGGACUGCGAUAAAUUUAACCGCGAUUGUGUGUGUGCAAACAUCUUUUUAGGACAAAGGACUGUGAUAAAUUUAACUGCGGUG